UAGGGAAUAUUAGUAAUGGGCGAAAGCCUGAACUAGCAACGCCGCGUGUGCGAAGAAGGCCCUCGGGUUGUAAAGCACUUUUUGAGAGGAUGAGGAAGGACGGUACUCUCAGAAUAAGUCUCGGCUAACUACGUGCCAGCAGCCGCGGUAACACGUAGGAGGCGAACGUUAUCCGGAUUUACUGGGCGUAAAGCGCGUGUAGGUGGUUUGGUAAGUAGGGCGUGAAAGCUCCUGGCUCAACUGGGAGAGGCCGUUCUAAACUGCCGAACUAGAGGAUGGUAGAGGGAGGUGGAAUUCCGGGUGUGGCGGUGGAAUGCGCAGAUAUCCGGAGGAACACCAGUGGCGAAAGCGGCCUCCUGGACCAUUCCUGACACUCAGACGCGAAAGCUAGGGUAGCAAACG
rnacentral:rRNA from 1 species